rnacentral:ncRNA from 1 species
CUACGGACUUAGAAAACUGAGCCUUGAGGCGAGAAAUCUCUCAAGUGACUGCUCUCAAAUUCAGGGAAACCUAAAUCUGAACACAGACAAGGCAAUCCUGAGCCAAGCCUAGUUUAUUGAUUGGACUAGGAAGGUGCAGAGACUCGACGGGAGCUACCCUAACGUCAAGCCGAGGGUAAAGGGAGAGUCCAAUUCUCAAAGCUAGCUG